ACACUUAUGGAAGACAGAAAUCCAAAUGUUUAUGCUCUACGGUUAAAAAGGUUUAGGAGAAGGGUGCGGGUGACAAUGGAAGGUCGGUAUCUAGAAGGCAAUCUGCUCGGUUUAAACAUGAUGAACCGCAGAGGACAUGCUCCAUGCAAACGAGAUUGAUGAUAAAAUGCAAGGGGAUGAUAUUGUCGUUUCUGUUAAAAAGGAAGAUGAUUCGUUACCAAAUAAAGUUAGUCAAGAAGGUUCAUUCUAUUUCAAGCCUGUCUCGUGAAGUAACUAAGAAGGUUCAGUCUUAUAAGGAAAUUGGCGUCAACGUAAAAAUGUGCAGACCUGAGUGAGCGUUUUUUGAACUACUUGGUUUGAAUUCUUUUGUAAAAGAUCCUUUAGUGAAUAUGUAUGAUGUUAUUAGUAGAUAAACUGAUAUAUUAGCUA